rnacentral:rRNA from 1 species
UGGCGAACGGGUGAGUAACACGUGGGUGAUCUGCCCUGCACUUCGGGAUAAGCCUGGGAAACUGGGUCUAAUACCGGAUAGGAGCCAUUUUUAGUGUGAUGGUUGGAAAGUUUUUUCGGUGUAGGAUGAGCUCGCGGCCUAUCAGCUUGUUGGUGGGGUAAUGGCCUACCAAGGCGGCGACGGGUAGCCGGCCUGAGAGGGUGGACGGCCACAUUGGGACUGAGAUAUGGCCCAG